rnacentral:snoRNA from 1 species
CCCCUCUAAGGGUCGCACUUGGAGAGUUGCCGGUAUUCUACCAGUCUCGACUACCGGAGGGAGAGUCAAGCGGAGGCCUAUCCAUUCCAUUCCUAGCUUGGGCAGUGGCUAGCGAGUGGAAGGCAAUCUGCUAUGUCA